rnacentral:rRNA from 1 species
UACGGGGGGGGUAAGCGUUGUUCGGAAUUACUGGGCGUAAAGGGCUCGUAGGCGGCCAACUAAGUCAUACGUGAAAUCCCUCAGCUUAACUGGGGAACUGCGUGUGAUACUGGAUGGCUUGGAUUGGGAGAGGGAUGCGGAAUUCCAGGUGUAGCGGUGAAAUGCGUAGAUAUCGUAAGGAAGACCAGUGGCGAAGGCGGGUCUCUGGACAGUUCCUGACGCUGAGGCACGAAGGUCAGGGGAGCAAACGGG